rnacentral:ncRNA from 11 species
CUGAAGAUCGGUGAUGGAUCCCGCCGGAGCCCUGUCGGCUCGAGCCGCCUCCUCGUGAGACUGAUGGCUCCUACGCUGUG